UCCAAUACAUCUUGAGACAGAGACAGAUCACAUCUUGCUUCACGGCAAUGGUGGCGGCAGUGGUGAGCCAUCCUUCAUUGCACUACUUCCAAGCAUCACGGCCGCUCCAUACCAGACGCCCAUUGUGACCUAGAUUUGGAGGAGUUGCCUCCCGUUCCGUCCCGUGCGCCGGCUGGAGCAGGAGUCGCCUCCCAUUCUGUCUCGUGCACCGACCGUGUGGAAGACAGAGAGAGAGGAGUGAUGGAGGGAAAGCAUCGAGGAGUCGCCUCCCGUUCCAUCUCACGCGCCGGCUGUGUGGAAGACAGAGAGAUAGAGGAGCGAAGGAGGGAAAGCAUGGAGGAGUUGCCUCCUGUUCCAUGCCGUGUGUUGGCCGUGUGGAAGACAAAGAGAGAGGAGCGAAGGAGGGAAAGCAUGGAGGAUUCAGUUGGUGGUGCCGCUCUGAACGUUCCGGAUGAGGCUACUUUGGUUCUGACCUGCAGCCCUCGGUGUGGCAGGAGAUGGAGUUGGCUACUGAAGCAAUGAAACAGGGAUUGUUGAAGGAACAAUUAGGUUACGUGGAUUGCUUCACCAAGUAUCAAUGAUCCAACUGAUGAAAGUGUUCUUUUCAAGAGACUUGCAUCUUUCCUGUAUGUUGGAUUCAUUAUAACUCAGACUGUUUGUUAUUUACGGGGAGCAUGGUAGUCACAAAUUUACUCUUCCAACUACCCUGUUCAGCUAACAAGGAUGAAUUUCAAGCUAUCCUCAUUCAGAUCUUUGGUAAUUCAAAAUUUGGGCUAAACCUACAAGAAAGCGCGUUCCUCUUAUAAGAUGAAUCUCUGAUGUUGUCGUCCAAAACUAUUAGCUUCCAGUGUGGCAUCAUUGAUCUUGCUGUUGGCGGUAUGUGCUGGUUGUUUAUGCUGCUGGCUCUUGAGCCUGAUAGACAGUUGUAGCCCCUCGGCCGAUCUCUAUUGAAAGUGUCAACGGUAGGAAUGAUAUGGCUGGAAAUUUAUACUACUAAAAUUUUAUUUCUCACUGACAGGUGUGUCUUUCUCCAGCUAUUUCAUAGGGGCUAGGUAAAGGCACACAUGCUUCAAGUUCUGGAAUUUGACACACAUGAUGGAGAUUUAAUGGAUAAAGUCCAUGCCUAAUUAUCUACUUUAGGAAAACCGCAAAAUAGUGGGCUAAAUAUAGGCCCAUUGGGAAGAUGAAACAUCUACACAUAUUUCAUGGUCCGCCUCCUAGCUGCAGCCGGUGUGCUCGACAGUGCAGUGCUUGCAUUUGAGGCUCGUUGACAUCUCGCAAGUAUGGUAAAUGUAGGUAGUUUGUUAUUGAUCUUAUACAAGCACAAAAUAAAGUUACCCUGACAUACUCUGCUCACCACCUUACUUGGGUCACCAUAUAGACAUGAGUACUUAAUAGUUUAAUUUUAUCUAAUUUGUUCUGACAAUUUUUCCAUUACAAUUUGAAUGAGGACCUGAGACAUAAUUGAUGUUUGACAACAGAAUUUAAGUGAUCUCUUAUGUGUAAUUUGAUGUCUUAAUUUCUUAAACAGGACAUUGCAGAUCGACAAAAGCUUUAGUGGAUAUGCGUUAAGGUGAUAAUCUGGUGAAUGGCUUUACCAUCGUAUGCUUCUCAAUGUCAGACACUCAGACCACAAGAAGUUCAUUGAUAGGCAUUCCCUAAUAUGACGAAUUAUACAUUCUGAAAAAGGUUUCAACUCGAGGGUCUGAAAUUAGGUAACACUUGCAUAUCUUCUACUAAGCUUUGUUGAUUUUUCGGUUCUUACUCCUAUUUCUCAGCAUCUCAAUUUUGGAUAAAUAGAAUGGUGCUACAAAACAUAGCAAGCCAUCUGGCAUCCGUGUCUCAUAGCUUAUUUUCAUAUUUAUAUUCAUCAUACUAUUAUGAAUUCUUUAUCUCUUUUAAAUUAGAAAGGGAUACCUUAUUCUUACAUUUGAUAUGGGUGCCACUUCAUAUGUUUUUAGCAUUGUGUCACGUCCUGAUUUCUAGGAUGUUUAGUUUUUUUUUGUUUAAAGCCUUUAAAUAAAAAGAUUGAACCCCGCAAAAUAUGGAUGUUGCACACAGCAAAGCUUUAUUUCUUAAAAUUUCUCCCCUCGCUCCUCCCUUUCGCUUCCCUCCUACAUAGGCGGCCGACUUGAAAGAAAAUAGUGAAGCACUGAGUUGAUACGUUUGCUAUUGUGGCAUUCUUUAGUUCGAGGAGCUUCGUGCAGGUAUCGCUCCAAAAUCAGCUGGAAUCCACCAUGUCUCCCUGUCUCUCUGACUAACUUGUGAGUUGACUUGGUCAAAAAGAAGACCCUGGGGGCGUAGAACCUCUGAGUUUUUUACAAGAAGCACUUUUGAUGGUUCAGAAUUGAGUUUUACAACAACUACAUGUACUCUACUAAGAGUUUUAACCCAUCCCAUCGGUGAAUAAUUCCCUUUCAAUCCGACUGAUUAUUGUGUUCCUAACAUACAAAGCUAGCUAACUAGCACAAGCAGCUUGAUUGAUUGUACAUACAAAGCUAGCUAGCUACUACAAGCAACUUGAUUGAUUGUUCACAGAAUGGUUGUGUACUACUACUCCCUUAGAUGGAUCACCGGCCACUUACUGAAUAUACUACCAUUAGAUGGUUCACCGUCUGCACAUGCAGGGAAUAUCUCGUGCUGCCAUUACUACGAGUCGGUGACCACCAAUGAACCAAACUACCAAAGGAAGGAAGAAGCAAGAUAUGUUCGAUUACAAUGGCAACGAGUACGUGGUACUACCUGACAACGAGGACGAGGAGGUGGGCGAGCAAAGGACACCGAGGUGGACCCCGAGUCCGGUCACUGAGAUUUGUGUUUAGUAACAUGGAUGCUAUAUUUUGGUUGAUGGUGCCUAUGUUUCUUUGAUGUUUCUGGCCCAUCCCGCGAGGAACAAUACUACUACCAUUUGACAGAUUAUUACUAUGUGAAUUGCUACACACUAUCACUUCCACUUCUCUUUGUAUGUUUUUCCAAUACAAUUUAACUUGUU